UGCAAUGUAGUCUGGUAGCGUCGCGGGGACUUUGGAGAAGCUGGGCUUCUGCCUCUCAAAAACUCACGGAAAUCUUUCAAACUGACCGUUGUCGAUCUGUAUUGAAGACAAAUUCAGCAACUGCAUAGCAUAUUUCUCGCACAAAAUGUUUUCAGAAACACAUUUCGGUGAACUAUUUUUGUAAAAUAAGAAAUCGUAUUCCAAACGAGCUGCCAUUAUGGUCAGGGAGAAAACAGUC